rnacentral:rRNA from 1 species
AUUGAACGCUGGCGGCAGGCCUAACACAUGCAAGUCGAGCGGAGCGGCGGACGGGUGAGUAAUGCCUAGGAAUCUGCCUGGUAGUGGGGGAUAACGUCCGGAAACGGGCGCUAAUACCGCAUACUAUCAGAUGUGCCCAGAUGGGAUUAGCUAGUAGGUGGGGUAACGGCUCACCUAGGCGACGAUCCCUAGCUGGUCUGAGAGGAUGACCAGCCACCCUGGAACUGAGACACGGUCCAGACUCCAUCCACAAUCACCAUUUCAAAAUAUUUCACAAUGUUGGCAAGCCUGAUACAGCCAUGCCGCGUGUGUGAAGAAUCCGUUCGGGUUUUAAUGCACUUUCAGCGGGGAGGCGUUACCCGCAGAAGAAGCACCGGCUAACUCCGUGCCAGCAGCCGCGGUAAUAC